rnacentral:rRNA from 1 species
AGAUAUUAGGAGGAACACCAGUGGCGAAGGCGGCUUUCUGGACUGUAACUGACACUGUAAGCAGAGAAGCGUGGGUAACCAAACCGGAUUAGAUACCCUGGUAGUGUCACGCCGUAAACGAUGGGUACUAGGUGUAGGAGGUAUCGACCCCUUCUGUGCCGUCGGUAACACAAU